rnacentral:ncRNA from 1 species
AUGGCCAAAAGUUUGGCGAUGUAGGGGAUCAAGGGCAGGUUCAAUAUCAGCAACACCAGGUUGCCGAUGAACAUGGACAUUAUCACGGCCCAGAAAAUUUGCGGCUCAUCGAUCAUCAGGCGAGGACC